rnacentral:lncRNA from 1 species
GUUUAAAGAUUCGGGGGGUUUUGGAUUCCCAGUUUAAAGAUUCGGAGGUUUUCCGAUUCCCAGUUCAUAAAGAUUCGGGGGGUUUUGGAUUCCCAGUUUAAAGAUUCGGGCGUUUUUGGAUUCCCAGUUUAAAGAUUCGGGCGUUUAAGGAUUCCCAGUUUAAAGAUUCGGGGGUAUUUGGAUUCGCAGUUUAAAGAUUCGGGGGUUUUUGGAUUCCCAGUUCAAAGAUUGGGGUUUUUUUUGGAUUCCCAGUUUAAAGAUUCGGGGGUAUUUGGAUUCGCAGUUUAAAGAUUCGGGGGUUUUUGGAUUCGCAGUUUAAAGAUUCGGGCGUUUUUGGAUUCCCAGUUUAAAGAUUCGGGC